rnacentral:rRNA from 1 species
CCAGUAGCGGCGAGCGAACGGGGAGCAGCCCGGAGUCUGAAUCAGCUUGUGUGUUAGUGGAAGCGUCUGGAAAGUCGCAGGGUACAGGGUGAUACUCCCGUACACUAAAACGCACAGGCUGUGAACUCGAAGAGUAGGGCGGGACACGUGGUAUCCUGUCUGAAUAUGGGGGGACCAUCCUCCAAGGCUAAAUACUCCUGACUGACCGAUAGUGAACCAGUAC